GACGAACGCUGGCGGCGUGCCUAAUACAUGCAAGUCGAACGAGAGCGACCGGUGCUUGCACUGGUCAAUCUAGUGGCGAACGGGUGAGUAACACGUGGGUAACCUGCCCAUCAGAGGGGGAUAACAUUCGGAAACGGAUGCUAAAACCGCAUAGGUCUUCGAACCGCAUGGUUUGAAGAGGAAAAGAGGCGCAAGCUUCUGCUGAUGGAUGGACCCGCGGUGCAUUAGCUAGUUGGUGAGGUAACGGCCCACCAAGGCCGUGAUGCAUAGCCGACCUGAGAGGGUGAUCGGCCACAUUGGGACUGAGACACGGCCCAAACUCCUACGGGAGGCAGCAGUAGGGAAUCUUCCGCAAUGGACGCAAGUCUGACGGAGCAACGCCGCGUGAGUGAAGAAGGUUUUCGGAUCGUAAAACUCUGUUGUUAGAGAAGAACAAGUGCUAGAGUAACUGUUAGCGCCUUGACGGUAUCUAACCAGAAAGCCACGGCUAACUACGUGCCAGCAGCCGCGGUAAUACGUAGGUGGCAAGCGUUGUCCGGAUUUAUUGGGCGUAAAGCGAGCGCAGGCGGUUCCUUAAGUCUGAUGUGAAAGCCCCCGGCUCAACCGGGGAGGGUCAUUGGAAACUGGGGAACUUGAGUGCAGAAGAGGAGAGUGGAAUUCCAUGUGUAGCGGUGAAAUGCGUAGAUAUAUGGAGGAACACCAGUGGCGAAGGCGACUCUCUGGUCUGUAACUGACGCUGAGGCUCGAAAGCGUGGGUAGCAAACAGGAUUAGAUACCCUGGUAGUCCACGCCGUAAACGAUGAGUGCUAAGUGUUGGAGGGUUUCCGCCCUUCAGUGCUGCAGUUAACGCAUUAAGCACU
rnacentral:rRNA from 1 species